CACGUAGGGGGCAAGCGUUGUCCGGAUUUAUUGGGCGUAAAGAGCUCGUAGGCGGUUCGGCAAGUCGGGUGUGAAACCCCCAGGCUCAACCUGGGGACGCCACCCGAUACUGCUGUGACUUGAGUCCGGUAGGGGAGCGUGGAAUUCCUGGUGUAGCGGUGAAAUGCGUAGAGAUCAGGAGGAACACCCAUGGCGAAGGCAGCUCUCUGGUCGACCUCUGACGCUGAGACGCGAAAGCGUAGGGAGCGAACGGG
rnacentral:rRNA from 1 species